rnacentral:misc_RNA from 1 species
GUAUUGAUUGCGUGUGACCGCAAAGAUAACAUUCUACACUGUAUCAAGUUUUGUGUGAAAACGUGAGCUCCUUUUGCAAAAGAAGACCCACGCGGUGAUGCACAAAGGGGUGAGAUGGAUGUGUGAGAGUGCUCGGGCGUGCACGACCUUUAAAAAGGUCAGCGACAGCCCGGGCACCUCCGUUGUAUGAUAAUGAUCCUUCCGCAGGUUCACCUACGGAAA